CUGGAUGAGUGAUUCCUAGGACAACCAUCACUGCAGGAUCUUACCACACUGCCUGGUACGUUUUUUUUUUUGCGGCACAAACUACACAGCCACCACAAGCAUGGGCCAUCUCAGUUUCCACUCCUCACCAUGUUGCCACAUCCACCGCCACAACCACCACAUCCACCACAACCCCCACAACCACCACUAUUUCCACUCUUCAUUGUGUCACCACACCCACUGUCACCAGAGUUUCCACUCCUCACCAUGUUGCCACAUCCACCGCCACAUCCACCGCCACAUCCACCACAACCACCACUAUUUCCACUCUUCAUUGUGUCACCACACCCACUGUCACCAGAGUUUCCACUCACCAUGUCCCCGCAUCCACUGCCACAACCACCACAACCACCACCACAGUUUCCACUCCUCACCAUGUCCCCGCAUCCACUGCCACAACCGCCACAACCGCCACCACAAUUUCCACUCCUCACUAUGCUUCCUUUAGCCACGUCCACAUUCAGCUCCAUGUUACCUUCUGAAGCAGCAGUCAGGCUGAUUUGCUCAGGUUCCUCAUGAAAGCCUUUGGCCUUUUCCACUAAACUAUCUACCUCCAGAUUUUCUCUGUUAGAAGUGAAGCCAUUAUAUCCUUCCUUCUUCAAAAUAUCAGAAAGUAUGAAGGCUGAUAUGAUUGCAGGUAACACCAACCAUGAUUCCUUUACCU
rnacentral:lncRNA from 1 species